UCCACCUUUUGUGUCCUUCAAACUUCCAAGGGACAGCUCCUCUAUUCAAACAGGUUCUCGCGGGCUGGAGUGAAGUGGCACAAUCAUAUCUCACUACAGCCUCAAACUCCUGGGCUCAGUUGAUCUUCCUGAGUUGCCUCCCGAGUUGCUGGUACUACUGGUGCAUGCCACCACACCUGGAUAAUUUAUUUUUUAAUCUUUUGUGGAGACUAUAUCUUACUCUGUUGCCCAGGCUGGAGUGCAGUGGCACAAUCAUGGCCUACUGCAAACUUGAACUUCUGGGCUCCAGUGAUCCUCCUGCCUCAGCCUCCUGAAUAGUUGGGACUAUAGGCAAGCAUCACCAUACCCAGUUGAUUUCCUCUUACUUUUUGUGAAUACAGGCUCUCACUAUUCUGGACAGGCCAGUCUCAAACUCCUGGGCUCAAGCAAUCCUCCCACUUUGGCCUCUCAGAUUGUUGGGAUUACAAGCGUAAGCCUCUGCACCUAGCCUGCAUUCUCACUUUUUAAAAAACAAGAGAGUAUCUACUUCCACAUUAAAUUACAUAGUGUAGAUUAUAAAUCUUUUUGAUCUUCAUACUGACAAAUGAAGAAAUAAAAUCUCAAAAUUUUGAUAUGCAUGUUUAUAAAUUAUGCUCUGCAUCCUUCUAUCUGAGAACUACUUGAAUUUACUUUUCUCUGCACUGUGGAACCAUAUCCUUUCUAUGUUUUUAAGUAGUUUGUUGUUAUUUUUAUAAUAUCGCAGUCCCUUAACUCUGGUAAAUUUUACAAAUACCCCUAAUAUUCCUCAUGUUUUUACUUAAAUUUCAGCUUUAUUUAUAAAAUAAAAUUUUGCCUGAGAGAAAGUAUUAAGUUUUGUGCUUCAAUUUAUGGUUUCUGGGCAGAAAAGAGUCUUCAUAUCUAGAAACAAUAUACUAUUCAUACAGAACAUAACUACAUGUAAAUUUGUAUAAGCACACAGCUUCAUGUCUUCUUUUGUACUUUUUUGACUUCCAAUUUUUACAUUUUAAAUACUUAAUUUAACAGGAAUGUUGGUAUAAAGCAGAAAUAUUUUUCCU
rnacentral:lncRNA from 1 species